CCUACGGGAGGCAGCAGUGGGGAAUAUUGCACAAUGGGGGAAACCCUGAUGCAGCGACGCCGCGUGAGUGAAGAAGUAUUUCGGUACGUAAAGCUCUAUCAGCAGGGAAGAAAAAAAGUCCUUUGGACUUUGGACGGUACCUGACCAAGAAGCCCCGGCUAACUACGUGCCAGCAGCCGCGGGAAUACGUAGGGGGCAAGCGUUAUCCGGAUUUACUGGGUGUAAAGGGAGCGUAGAUGGCAGCGCAAGUCUGGAGGGAAAUGCCGGGGCCCAACCCCGGAACUGCGUUGGAAACUGUGCAGCUGGAGUGCAGGAGAGGUAAGCGGAAUUCCUAGUGUAGCGGUGAAAUGCGUAGAUAUUAGGAGGAACACCAGUGGCGAAGGCGGCUUACUGGACUGUAACUGACGUUGAGGCUCGAAAGCGUGGGGAGCAAACAGGAUUAGAUACCCCAGUAGUC
rnacentral:rRNA from 1 species